rnacentral:rRNA from 1 species
CAGCAGCCACGGUAAUACGAAGGGUGCAAACGUUGCUCGGAAUUAUUGGGCGUAAAGCGCACGUAGGCGACUCCGCAAGUCGGAUGUGAAAUCCCUCGGCUUAACCAAGGAAGUGCAUCCGAAACUGCAGAGCUUGAGUACUUAAGAGGAUCGCGGAAUUCCCGGUGUAGAGGUGAAAUUCGUAGAUAUCGGGAGGAACACCAGUGGCGAAGGCGGCGAUCUGGGAAGAUACUGACGCCGAGGUGCGAAAGCGUGGGGAGCAAACAGGAUUAGAUACCCGCGUAGUCCCUGUCUCUUAUAC